GCUGGACAUGGAGCACUCUUCCCGCCUUUCUGGAGUCUCUAAUUAUUUAUUAAUCUGAAAACACACACUCACACAAUAGAAGGAAAUCGGACGAAAUGGUUCGAGGCGGAGGAGGAGCGAAGAAGGAGAAGGAAGAGAAUGCGGAGGCGGAAGAAAGGAAGAGACUGAAGAAAUCGGCGUUUAAAAAUAAUAUACUUUCCGAAACGCAGGCGACGGCGAGUGGCUCCAACGCUCUGAACCCUUCGGCGACAGUGGUCAAACACCAUGGCAAAGAUAUCAUGAGGAAAUCGCAGCGGAGUGGCAAGAAUCGUUAUUUAUUCUCAUUUCCUGGGCUUUUAGGUCCAAUUUCUGGUGGAAAGGUUGGGGAACUCAAAGACCUCGGCACUAAGAAUCCUGUUCUUUACCUCGAUUUUCCCCAGGGUCAAAUGAAGUUAUUUGGUACAAUUGUGUAUCCAAAGAACAGGUACCUGACUCUUCAAUUCUCGAAAACUGGAAAGAAUGUGACAUGUGAAGACUACUUUGAUAACAUGAUUGUGUUCUCUGAUGCUUGGUGGAUUGGGAAAAAGGAUGAAAAUCCUGAAGAAGUACGUCUAGAAUUUCCAAAGGAGAUGGAUGUGGAACAGGUGCAAAACUAUGAUUUUAAAGGUGGUGCAGGUGGGCCAAGUGAUAGCAAGCGAGAUAGCAUUAAAACAGCUAAGAAAGUUGUUGAGCAGCCAUCUCCUAAAUUUGAGCUGGAAGAAGAUUCCUCUGACAGUCAAAAUAAACCUAAAGAAGUUCUUGAACUCACUCCAUCUCGGAAGUCAGCUAGGACAGAUUCCUCUGACAGUCAAAAUAAACCUAAAGAAGUUCUUGAACUCACUCCAUCUCGGAAGUCAGCUAGGACAGCAGGAAAGACAUUCAAGUUUGCUGAGUCUUCUUCUGGAGAUGACAUUGCUGAUGGUUUGGGGGAGACCUCAGGAGAUGAUUUUGUUAAUAACGGGCUAGAAAGCUCAGAAGGAGACGGGGACAACGUUGCUAAAGAUAUCCUUCUAAAUUCAUUGACCUUACUGGAAAGUCUUGCCAUGUGGUACUUGACCUUGAUAAGGAAGAUGCUGAAACAGAUGCUCCAGUCCCAAAGAAAAGAAAACAAAGUGCAAAAUCAGCUUCAAAAACUAAAGAGCUUGCUCAUAGUAAUCAGGGUUCUCUGGUUCAAAAGACCAUAUCAUCCUUAUUCAAGAAAGCAGGGGAAAAGGUUGUGCAUACAGAUGCGAAUGAGAAGAUAGAUAAUGUCAAGAUUUCCAGGCCCUCGAAAAAGGGGAAACCAGUAGGCAAAAGAAAAGAUGGAACAGAAAGUUCAGCAAGGAAGAAAAAAAUGAAGGUUCAGAUGUUGUGAAGACUGAACCAGAUAGAUGUUAGCCUGACGACUAAGAUGAACUUAUGGAAGAAAUUCAUUUGAAGUGGAGAACCUUGGUGUUUUUGAAAAAAUGUUUGUUGCUGUAGUGUCGUGAGGUUGAAGAUGAUGAUAUUGAGGAGUUCACUAGCACAUCGCAGGAUAUGAUUUCAAGUGAUGAAGACUGGACUACUUAACAACAGUGAUGUGAUGACAGCCGCAGUAGUUGUCAAAACAAAUUUCUACUCGGAUAUAAGUCGAUCUGUGAAUUCCCCCAGUUGAAUGUCCAAGAAAUAUGAGAUUGCUUACUUCUCUUGGUGAUGGAUUAAUUGGUAAUGCUUGAUGUCAAUUCUUUUUCUUUCAUUGUAAGGAAUGUAAUGCAGAAUCGAGAAAAAUGAUAGGAGGUUGGCGCAGAAUUUGUGACUCCUUCUUCUUUUUAUUUGCCAUGUAGGAUAGUUCAUAGAAGCUUCAAAAGCUAUUGGUUGUAUACUUGAGUAGUAGUUCAAUUUGGAUACUUGAAAUGAUCCUGCGAGGAAAUUCUUGCGACUCCUAUUAAAAGAAAGAUGCUAGAUCGGCCCUUUUAUUUAACCCAA